GCCGGGCGUGGUGGCGCGCGCCUGUAGUCCCAGCUACUCGGGAGGCUGAGGCAGGAGGAUCGCUUGAGCCCAGGAGUUCUGGGCUGUAGUGCGCUAUGCCGAUCGGGUGUCCGCACUAAGUUCGGCAUCAAUAUGGUGACCUCCCGGGAGCGGGGGACCACCAGGUUGUCUAAGGAGGGGUGAACCGGCCCAGGUCGGAAACGGAGCAGGUCAAAACUCCCGUGCUGAUCAGUAGUGGGAUCGCGCCUGUGAAUAGCCACUGCACUCCAGCCUGGGCAACAUAGCGAGACCCCGUCUCUU
rnacentral:SRP_RNA from 1 species